rnacentral:tRNA from 1 species
GGAUAGGUGGCCGAGUGGUCGAAGGCGCACGCCUGGAAAGUGUGUAUACGCGAAAAGCGUAUCGUGGGUUCGAAUCCCACCCUCUCCG